GAUGAACGCUGGCGGCGUGCUUAACACAUGCAAGUCGAACGAAGCAGAUUGAGAUCUUCGGAAGGAUAUCUGACUGAGUGGCGGACGGGUGAGUAACGCGUGGGUAACCUGCCUCAUACAGGGGGAUAACAGUUAGAAAUGAAUGCUAAUACCGCAUAAGCGCACAGUACCGCAUGGUACGGUGUGAAAAACUCCGGUGGUAUGAGAUGGACCUGCGUUUGAUUAGCUAGUUGGUGGGGUAACGGCCUACCAAGGCGACGAUCAGUAGCCGACCUGGGAGGGUGACCGGCCACAUUGGGACUGUGUCACGGCACAGACUCCUACGGGAGGCAGCAGUGGGGAAUAUUGCACAAUGGGCGAAAGCCUGAUGCAGCGACGCCGCGUGAGUGAAUAAGUAUUUCGGUAUGUAAAGCUCUAUCAGCAGGGAAGAAAAUGACGGUACCUGACUAAGAAGCACCGGCUAAAUACGUGCCAGCCGCCGCAGUAAAAC
rnacentral:rRNA from 1 species